rnacentral:rRNA from 1 species
AUUGAACGCUGGCGGCAGGCCUAACACAUGCAAGUCGAGCGGAUGAGGGGGGCUUGCUCCUGGAUUCAGCGGCGGACGGGUGGGUAAUGCCUAGGUAUCUGCCUGGUAGCGGGGGAUAACGUCCGGUGAUGGGCGCUAAUACCGCAUACGUCCUGAGGGAGAAAGAGGGGGAUCUUCGGCCCUCACGCUAUCAGAUGAGCCUAGGUCGGAUUAGCUAGUUGGUGGGGUAAAGGCCUACCAAGGCGACGAUCCGUAACUGGUCUGAGAGGAUGAUCAGUCACACGGGAAGUGAGACACGGUCCAGACUCCUACGGGAGGCAGCAGUCGGGAAUAUUGGAGGAGGGGGGAAAGGCUGAUCCAGGCAUGCCGCGGGUAUGAAGAAGGUGUUCGGAUGGGAGAGCACUUUAAGUUGGGGGGAAGGGAAGUAAGUUAAUACGUGACUGUUUUGACGUUACCAGGAGAAGAAGCACCGGCUAACUUCGUG